rnacentral:rRNA from 1 species
UACAGAGGGUGCGAGCGUUGUCCGGAAUCACGGGGCGUAAAGGGCGCGUAGGCGGUCUCUUAAGCGUGUGGUGAAAGCCCGGGGCUCAACUCCGGGUCGGCCGUGCGAACUGGGGGACUGGAGCUUGUCAGAGGCAGGCGGAAUUCCGGGUGUAGCGGUGGAAUGCGUAGAGAUCCGGAAGAACACCGGUGGCGAAGGCGGCCUGCUGGGACAGUGCUGACGCUGAGGCGCGACAGCGUGGGGAGCAAACAGG